GUCCUGGGAAACUUGUUAAAAUGCAGACUCAGUUUCAGGAAGUCUCGGGUGGGGCCUGUGGUUCUGCAUUUGUAACAAGCCCCCAGGUGAUGCUGA
rnacentral:pre_miRNA from 1 species